UCAUUGCCUUUGUAAUUAAUGGUGUUCCAAGUUUUUGCGUGGGCAUGAGAGUCUCAGCUUUCCUGAACCAUUCGAGUCCACUUCCAGCUUUCAUGGCUGCAGAGGAAACCAUGUGAAUUGGAGCCCCUUAUCUUUUCCAGCAAUCCUGCGUGACAAAGGAGGACGAUGUUUAAUGUGGCUGGGUCUGGCUGUUGACUGAAGUCUGCAGGGAUACCUCUGGCAGCGUAAUUGCCACUGCUUCCCAUCCAAAGCCGGGAGAAGGGAGCUGUAGCUGACUGCUGGCCUUGGCAGUGGUGCCAGAACGGCCUUUUCUGGCGAGAAGUGGCAUCAGCAUAAACCCGUCAAUUCUCGUCUCA